rnacentral:rRNA from 1 species
AAAUUGAAGAGUUUGAUCAUGGCUCAGAUUGAACGCUGGCGGCAGGCCUAACACAUGCAAGUCGAACGGUAACAGGAAGCAGCUUGCUGCUUUGAUGACGAGUGGCGGACGGGUGAGUAAUGUCUGGGAAACUGCCUGAUGGAGGGGGAUAACUACUGGAAACGGUAGCUAAUACC